CGGGGUGGAGUAAUGCUUGGGAAUCUAGCUUAUGGAGGGGGAUAACUACGGGAAACUGUAGCUAAUACCGCGUAGAAUCGAGGGAUGAAAGUGUGGGACCUUCGGGCCACAUGCCAUAGGAUGAGCCCAAGUGGGAUUAGGUAGUUGGUGAGGUAAAGGCUCACCAAGCCGACGAUCUCUAGCUGGUCUGAGAGGAUGACCAGCCACACUGGGACUGAGACACGGCCCAG
rnacentral:rRNA from 1 species